GAAAUGUGUGUAGUUAAAAAGUUUUGCCUUCCUUUUUAGCUCCAGAAUGGAAAAAUUCUAAAAUAUGGUUUUGUUUCGUUUUUCUUCAUCUUGGCUCUUAAUUUCUACCUGGACCCAAGAUUCUACAGAUUGCUCCUCCACUGAAGUUUUCUUCACGUACUAUUACAUCAUCUACCUUAGUUCUGGGUCUCAUCCCCAAUCUGUGAUUCCUAAAAUGUACUCUCCAGCUUUAGCAGAGCACUUGCUACAUGGCAGGUAGGAGGAAGGGACCUACAAUACCUGGGUGAACGAGUCGAAUGUACUGAUAGAGGAGAGGUGCCCUCCAUGAUAGCAUCCUUCUGGUAUUUGUAUCUUGUGUAAUCCCUCACCUGGAGUGUAAGUGGGACCUGUUGGUUCCCUUCUGGCCAAUAUAAUAUUGCCAAAGUGUCAGUAUGUCAUGUUUGUGAUUUGGUACACAGGACUGUGGUGCCAUCUGACUAGGAGACUCUCUUCCUUGCUGACUUGGAGGAAGCAAGUAGUCAUAUGGGGCAGAUCCAGAUGGCAAGGGACUAAAGGCGACCUCCUGCCAACGGCCAUUGAGAAGGCAAAAGAAAAUGGAUUACAAGCAAAAACCAGGAACUUCACAGCUCUUCCCACCUUGGAGAUUGCCUGGGUAUCCUAUUAGAGCUAAUUGGCAUUAUCAGCACAUAUUGAGAAAUAUGGACCAUUAAGUUCAGGCUUUUAACUGUUUCUAUUGAUGGAUGGUCAUAGAUCACUAUAAAAACUGGAUACUGAAAACAAAAUAAAAUGAAUUCAAACAUUGAGAACAAGAGAAGCAAGGCAGGUUUCAGGAGCAGCAGAGACAGCAGAAGUUCCGAGAUGUCAGAAGCGCAGCGAAGCCUCACGCUCACCUGGCUGCCUUCUUUCUGCCAGAAAACAGCUGGCUGUGGGUUUCCUUUCGUUUCACAGGGAAAUGUCACCGUCCGGCCUUGAGCCACAAUCUGAUCUCUUGGCCGAACCACAAACUGUGGGGGAGCUAUAAUUGAAAAGAAAAGAAAGUGUGUAAAUAUCAACCACCGACAAAGAAAAAUACAUCAGGGAGAAAAUACGGUACUAUGUUGCUUGUUCAGUGCCAGGGAGCGACUACAGUCUAUUAUUUACUUUUACACAUUUCUCAAAACACAAAAAAGAAAGACAUUAUAUUCAAUCAAAUGUGAGGAAAGAAGCAAAAUUUUUAGCAGACGUAUUUUUAAAUGUUGUACAUUGUAAUCCUUUGGCCUAUAUAUCCUUGCAUAGAAAGUUAGAUUUUUUUAAUGAUUUUAACACUUUUAAGGAAAAACAUGGAUCCUCAAGCUGGUUCUGUUUUUUAAAUAAAUAAAGAUAAAAAAAGAAUCACUCUUA